CAGACAGGAUAUCCAGUGCAGGUGUUUGAG
rnacentral:piRNA from 1 species